ACUUUUACAAUGAAGAGUUUGAUCCUGGCUCAGGAUGAACGCUAGCUACAGGCUUAACACAUGCAAGUCGAGGGGCAUCAGGAAGAAAGCUUGCUUUCUUUGCUGGCGACCGGCGCACGGGUGAGUAACACGUAUCCAACCUGCCCUUUACUCGGGGAUAGCCUUUCGAAAGAAAGAUUAAUACCCGAUAGCAUAAUGAUUCCGCAUGGUUUCAUUAUUAAAGGAUUCCGGUAAAGGAUGGGGAUGCGUUCCAUUAGGUNGUUGGUGAGGUAACGGCUCACCAAGCCUUCGAUGGAUAGGGGUUCUGAGAGGAAGGUCCCCCACAUUGGAACUGAGACACGGUCCAAACUCCUACGGGAGGCAGCAGUGAGGAAUAUUGGUCAAUGGGCGCUAGCCUGAACCAGCCAAGUAGCGUGAAGGAUGAAGGCUCUAUGGGUCGUAAACUUCUUUUAUAUAAGAAUAAAGUGCAGUAUGUAUACUGUUUUGUAUGUAUUAUAUGAAUAAGGAUCGGCUAACUCCGUGCCAGCAGCCGCGGUAAUACGGAGGAUCCGAGCGUUAUCCGGAUUUAUUGGGUUUAAAGGGAGCGUAGGUGGACUGGUAAGUCAGUUGUGAAAGUUUGCGGCUCAACCGUAAAAUUGCAGCUGAUACUGUCAGUCUUGAGUACAGUAGAGGUGGGCGGAAUUCGUGGUGUAGCGGUGAAAUGCUUAGAUAUCACGAAGAACUCCGAUUGCGAAGGCAGCUCACUGGACUGCAACUGACACUGAUGCUCGAAAGUGUGGGUAUCAAACAGGAUUAGAUACCCUGGUAGUCCACACAGUAAACGAUGAAUACUCGCUGUUUGCGAUAUACAGUAAGCGGCCAAGCGAAAGCAUUAAGUAUUCCACCUGGGGAGUACGCCGGCAACGGUGAAACUCAAAGGAAUUGACGGGGGCCCGCACAAGCGGAGGAACAUGUGGUUUAAUUCGAUGAUACGCGAGGAACCUUACCCGGGCUUAAAUUGCAGUGGAAUGAUGUGGAAACAUGUCAGUGAGCAAUCACCGCUGUGAAGGUGCUGCAUGGUUGUCGUCAGCUCGUGCCGUGAGGUGUCGGCUUAAGUGCCAUAACGAGCGCAACCCUUAUCUUUAGUUACUAACAGGUUAUGCUGAGGACUCUAGAGAGACUGCCGUCGUAAGAUGUGAGGAAGGUGGGGAUGACGUCAAAUCAGCACGGCCCUUACGUCCGGGGCUACACACGUGUUACAAUGGGGGGUACAGAAGGCAGCUAGCGGGUGACCGUAUGCUAAUCCCAAAAUCCUCUCUCAGUUCGGAUCGAAGUCUGCAACCCGACUUCGUGAAGCUGGAUUCGCUAGUAAUCGCGCAUCAGCCACGGCGCGGUGAAUACGUUCCCGGGCCUUGUACACACCGCCCGUCAAGCCAUGGGAGCCGGGGGUACCUGAAGUACGUAACCGCAAGGAUCGUCCUAGGGUAAAACUGGUGACUGGGGCUAAGUCGUAACAAGGUAGCCGUACCGGAAGGUGCGGCUGGAACACCUCCUUUCU
rnacentral:rRNA from 14 species